GAAAAGAAACCAACAGGGAUUGCCCUAGUAACGGCGAGUGAAGCGGCAACAGCUCAAAUUUGAAAUCUGGCCUCGGCCCGAGUUGUAAUUUGCAGAGGAUGUCUUUGGCGCGGUGCCUUCCGAGUUCCCUGGAACGGGACGCCACAGAGGGUGAGAGCCCCGUAUGGUCGGACACCAAGCCUGUGUAAGACUCCUUCGACGAGUCGAGUAGUUUGGGAAUGCUGCUCUAAAUGGGAGGUAAAUCUCUUCUAAAGCUAAAUACCGGCCAGAGACCGAUAGCGCACAAGUAGAGUGAUCGAAAGAUGAAAAGCACCUUGAAAAGGGGGUUAAAUAGUACGUGAAAUUGUUGAAAGGGAAGGGCUUGUGACCAGACUUGCGCCGGGCGGCUCACCCUGGGUUCUCCCAGGGGUAUUCCGCCCGGCUCAGGCCAGCAUCGGUUUUCGCGGGGGGAUAAGAACGGUAGGAACGUGGCCCCCUCCGGGGGGUGUUAUAGCCUGCCGUACGAUACCUUCGCGGGGACCGAGGUUCGCGCUUCUGCAAGGAUGCUGGCGUAAUGGUCAUCAGCCACCCGUCUUGAAACACGGACCAAGGAGUCGUCCAUUAGAGCGAGCGUUUGGGUGUCAAACCCGCACGCGUAAUGAAAGUGAACGUAGGUGAGAGCUUCGGCGCAUCAUCGACCGAUCCUGAUGUUCUCGGAAGGAUUUGAGUAAGAGUUUUACUGGACGGACCCGAAAGACAGUGAACUAUGCUUGUAUAGGGUGAAGCCAGAGGAAACUCUGGUGGAGGCUCGCAGCGGUUCUGACGUGCAAAUCGAUCGUCAAAUAUGAGCAUGGGGGCGAAAGACUAAUCGAACUGUCUAGUAGCUGGUUACCGCCGAAGUUUCCCUCAGGAUAGCAGUGUUGUUCUUCAGUUUUAUGAGGUAAAGCGAAUGAUUAGGGACUCGGGGGCGCUUAUUAGCCUUCAUCCAUUCUCAAACUUUAAAUAUGUAAGAAGCCCUUGUUACUUAGCUGAACGUGGGCAUUCGAAUGUAUCAACACUAGUGGGCCAUUUUUGGUAAGCAGAACUGGCGAUGCGGGAUGAACCGAACGCGAGGUUAAGGCGCCAGAGUGUACGCUCAUCAGACACCACAAAAGGCGUUAGUACAUCUUGACAGCAGGACGGUGGCCAUGGAAGUCGGAAUCCGCUAAGGACUGUGUAACAACUCACCUGCCGAAUGUACUAGCCCUGAAAAUGGAUGGCGCUCAAGCGUACCGCCCAUACCUCGCCCUCAGGGUAGAAACGAUGCCCUGAGGAGUAGGCGGCCGUGGAGGUCAGUGACGAAGCCUAGGGCGUGAGCCCGG
rnacentral:rRNA from 1 species